CAUGCAGUGGUGGGGUCCUUUGGCCAGGCCUGUGCCCUCUCGCAAUCUGGGACCCCUCAGGGGAUGUUGGAGAGCCAGUUUCAGCCUGAUCCCACAGGCCAGGCCAAGGGACCCCACUGGUGCACG
rfam:Myotis lucifugus cont2.27012, whole genome shotgun sequence.